UAUUAAACGUUGGGAGUGGUUUUAGUUGUAAGCCAGUUAACAUCGACGUUUCGAAGAGGUUCUAUUUCGUGUCGAUACUUUAUAUACCAUGAACCGAAGAUCAGUGCUGGAUUAUCAUUUGGAAGGUUCAAACUACGGAAAAGCGAUCUUUAAUGUCUUCUUUCGCAGCAUAGGAAAAUUCUUAGGAACUGUCAUUACCCCUUGAAGUUGACAACUUCUUGUAUCGUUCAAGAUGCAUAACCGGUUAUGUAUCUAUAACGACACCCUGUAGAUAUUAUAACGCGUUACGGGAUGAUAUCGAUCUUGGCAAGAUUCUACUAGCAUCCAGUCAAGAACCAACAGCCAUAUUGUCAAUUACUGUAAUACACAUGGGCACCGUACAUUAUUUUUCCAUACGAGAUUGCCGAUAUAGAAAAACAACGAGGCAGUAAUGGCCGAAGAAGAUUGUCACUACUGCUGCACAAUUGAUCAUCAGGUGUGUCGUUGCAAUUAUCAUCCGGUCGAGGAGUUAAUUAAGGAUUGCGGGAGGGGAAGGGGUGGCGCAGGGUCCAAUGAGCUCGAUGCGGUUUCUGCGAUAAUGAAUUGUCGGUGAUGGUAAUUGAGUGAACGUACAGCAGGCAAUGUAACGAGGAGCAAUGUAUACGUCAGCAAGGUAUCUGCGGUGUUACUGUUGAGGUGCAACCAGGUAUCCCCUUCCUUGCGAAUAGCGGCCAACCGGGUAGGUCCGCUCGGCAGACACGUGGAACCGGGCUAAGUAAGGUAAGCAAGGUAAGUAAUGGUGGGUAAGGUAAGGAUGGCACGCGCGCCGUGUUCUAUCGCUUCCGGGCAUCAACGUGCUCGCGAGCCGCGGCUAAUUGCUCUUUAAUGCGCAAGAGCAACGCGCCGCGUUUCUAUGUGUAUCUGCCUUUCGCGAUUCACUCAACUUUAGAUUCUAGAUUCGGCGAUUCCUGCGACUUGGGUCGCGACGGACCAGUGCAGGUACAGUUACUUAACUCGUUACUUUUUUAUUUCACUUAUUUCUCGUUAUUGUUCAUUGUUACUCGCGACUUUGUAAAAUUAAUUAAUAGCAUUGUGUAUCAGACUUGUGGCAAUGCGUGACGAAAAAAGAAAGAGAGAGGAAGUACUUAAGUGCCAUAACUGUUAGACAGGGAUAAAAUUAAUCAUUUUAUAUUAUUUUUUCUAUCAACUAUUGGGUACUACUGACAAAAAUAGAUAUCGUAUGUCGUGUAGUUAACUUGUCGGGGAAAAUUCGUUAGCACAGGUGAAAACGGAACUGAAGGGAAACGUGUGUAUCGCUGAUCAUUCGAAAUUCUGACUCUUUCGGUUGGAUACGUGAUAUUUAUUUGUUCAAAUGGGAGGUUCGCGGGAGGAAGAUAAAAUGAAUAAAAAGUAUUUUAAAAUGGAGUAAAAUAGAGAGGCCAUUCGCCGAGGCAUGACCGCACGUCCAGCAGAAGCUCAUACAUAUGUAGUCAGCGCCGUCAGAGCCGCGGUGCAGGACCCUCCGGAAAAAUGAAUAUGCAGCUAUGUACGCAGGGCAUUAUUUUAUGAAAUUUAUACCGGUAUUCCCCGCCGCACCCCUUGCUCACCGUGAGACUUUUCCACGCUAUGGUACGACGACAAAGUGCCACCUGUGAUAAAGGUGCAUAUUCAAUGUCCAACCCAAUAAAAUUUUUGCCGUACGUAAAAUCUUCGUACCUACCCCAAAUUUCGCGGUAAACGAUAAAUACACCGUUAUGUAAACAAGACUUGGCAGUACAUUUUUUUAAUAAUUGAUACGUGCUCUCAUAACCUCAAUUUGUUGUUUCAGAUUGACGUUUUCCGACAGAUUCCAAAACUUGAAUCGUGCACAUUAAGUCACGUGGGGGUGGAGUCAGUUCUACGUAUAAAAUUGUGUAGUCCCUUAUCGUCCGGGAGGAAACGCAACAUUAAAUUGAGUCCAGUAGGGAGUGGGGUGUUUCGGUGGGUGCGCCUGAGAUUUCCUGUCUGGACUCUGGAUGUUAGAAAGGAUGGUUUCCUAUGUACGCGGCUGUAGCUACGUGUAUGUAUAUACUUUGUGUUUUUAGCGAUUUUUAACAGUUAACUCGUAUAUACAUAUAUACUAUAUAUGCCAAUGACGUUACAGUCGCGGAAGUGUUGACGGAGUAAGGAGUCCACAUAUGUAAUACAUAUUAAUGUAUUCAGUUUUAAUAAAAAUAUAUGUAACUCGUUUAUAACAAAAGUUACUGAAGAGAAUCGCGAAUCUAUUUACUGUCUAUUGACACCGUUAUGUGCUUUGACAUCAAUAUAUGUAUAUAAUGUAGAUUCUAGCUACUGUGUUAUUUUUUUAUUAGGCGAAGUUCCGUAGAAUCGUAAUAUCGCAAUAUCUAAAUAACUUUAUCAUUAAUGCAGCAGUGGACUCGCAUUACUAGGAAUUUGUAUAUAAUGGUGCUAUGUACAUAUGUAAUGCGCCGGGGGCCGCACAUAAUAGCGAUAUCAUAAGAUACGAACCAAUAGUCGCAAUUGUAUGGAAAUAUGUAUCUAUGAAUGAAGACACUUUCAUUUAUGAAACCAGAUACUUAUGUACCGGACACGGGCGUUGUAACAUCCUGCUAUUAUGUGUCCUUAUACUGGCCUUCUUAUUCUCUUGACGCUACCGUAGAACUAAACCCGCCUGUGCGUACGCGCCUUACGUUUUACCAUUAUGUCGGUCAUUUAUUUGGUACUUCAGUGGCUGCUAUUUUACAUUCUCUACUUCUUUGUACUCACUCACGUAUAAAUAAACUG